UACGUAGGGGGCGAGCGUUAAUCGGAAUCACUGGGCUUAAAGCGCGUGUAGGCGGGACGGCACGUCGGUCGCUGAAAUCCCCCGGCUUAACCGGGGAACGGGCGUCGAUACGACCGUCCUGGAGGGGCGUAGGGGGACCUGGAACUUCCGGUGGAGCGGUGAAAUGCGUUGAGAUCGGAAGGAACGCCCGUGGCGAAAGCGAGGUCCUGGACGCCUACUGACGCUGAGACGCGAAAGCCAGGGGAGCGAACGGG
rnacentral:rRNA from 1 species